UUUCCCAUUAUACAACUAGAUUUGCGGUGUUCUACCUAGUUUUAUCGAUUAUUUUCGCGAAGGUAGGAGAAUAGUCAAAUGACAAAGUAAUCAAAAAUUGCCUACAAUACUGAGUUCCCAAAAACUUUGGAAGGUUUCAACGUUAUUAUUAAUAUUUAAUAGUUCCCGAGUAAAAAUAUUGCUUCAUAACAAUUUAAAAUAAAUUAAAAAGAAAACAAAUACAACACAUACGACAGCUGAUAAUCUCCUUUGGGUAUGUAAACGGUUAGAUUGUUGACCGAGCUUAGAAGGAGACUAUUUUUCUAUGUAAACAAACUAUUAGGCAACUUAAAUAUAAUAGAUUAGAAGGAUAAAACUGUUUUGUCUGUCCUAAAAAAGCUCGUGGAAUCUAUGUCCCGUCGUAUUCAGUUGGAGAAGAAUAAUUACGAUAUAUAUUUAUGCCUUUUUUUAACUGUGGUAACUUAAUAAAUAUUCACCACGGAAAAAUGUAAGGUGCAAAUAAGCAACUAUGUCAAAUAACGGGAUGCAGAAAAUGCUUAUUCAACGAAACUGAGGGCAAUGUUUAAACAUUUGCAACACAAACUUCGUAAAAUAGUGAAUAUUUAAUGCUAAUUGCUCUUGAUAAAACUGCUCACACAAGAAUUUAAAAUAUGCAGAGAAAACCUGUAGUAAAUAAUAAAGCUAUUUUAACCCGCCCACAAUGUGCAUGAUAUUUAUAUCGUUUUGAAAGGAUAUAAUUUCAUUAAUAGACGUCCUGAUUCUUUAGAUUGCGUACUUAAAUUCGAUUGAGUGAUUUAAAUUUAGAAACUGAUUUAUGUAUGACAAUGAUUUGGAAAGUGAAACAAGCAUUACGUUUCAAAUGAUACAAAAUUGUUUAUAUGUAAAUUAUCAUGCUCAUACGAUCAAUAUGCUUUUAUCAGAGUUAAUGUUUUAGUGUGCAUCUAAUUGUUUCCAAAGCUAAUAUGUGGCCAGUAUUAUAGUGCUCAACACCAACAAAAGUUAGAAUCAUGGGCAAUUUCUUCAUUUGCAACGCCUCUAUUUGCAUUCAUUGAAACAAUUUAAGAAUCUUAAUAUAAAUACUUUGUUUAAAUAAAAACAUGAUUUUUUCUGUGCCAAA